UACGAAGGGUGCAAACGUUGCUCGGAAUUAUUGGGCGUAAAGCGCACGUAGGCGGCUUAGCAAGUCGGAAGUGAAAUCCCACGGCUCAACCAUGGAAGUGCUUUCGAAACUGCUGAGCUUGAGUACGAAAGAGGAUCGCGGAAUUCCCGGUGUAGAGGUGAAAUUCGUAGAUAUACGGGAGGAACACCAGUGGCGAAGGCGGCGAUCUGGGUCGAUACUGACGCUGAGGUGCGAAAGCGUGGGAGCAAACAGGA
rnacentral:rRNA from 1 species